CGGCUCCAAGAUGGGCCACUUCGGCCCAAGCAUUAUUUUGAGUUAAAUGCAAUUAGAACUCAGUAGGUUCAGGAAAAAGCUCUCCUCCUCCUCUUCAAUUGCCUUCCUGUACCAGGAAGAGGGGCUUUAACAGGGAUCCUUAUUUAUCCAGGAAACUUAUAUGCAGGAUAGAGAAACCUUGAUUUUCCAAACAUCUCUCCUCUUCCCGCUAAUGGUUUUUCUCCUCUUUGCAUCCCCAGACCCCGCCUCUCUCCUGAGCUCAGAGAAGCCUCAUGUCACCUGACUAUCAAGUCUGUGAGGAUUUCCCAUGUGCCUGAAGCUAAAUUUGAUUUUCUCCUAUUAAUCUGUUGCAUCUCAAUUUGAUUCUUGGUCCGGCUGGAAGGAUCUCGAAGGGCAUAGGUGACAGAACCUCCAGGAAAAUUAGGGGACCUCAGAGCGGAGGAUCCCUCGGCCUUACUUCCCAUGCAGGAUCUGUAAAGCAGGAAGCCCAGAGUGGCCCAAACCCUGGCAUGAGUUGACUGCAAUGGAGCAGCUCUCCAAGCUUCCUGCUCUUCCCUGGAGGUGUGGGAAGCAGGUACUUUUCCAGAACCCCAAGAAAGUCACAGAAGACAGACAGGGGUGAGUUGGGCUACCUGGGGGGGUUUCACGAUCCUGGUGAGGGAGAAGAGGCUACAAAGUAUUGAAGCAUCAUGAACAUGACACCAGCCUCCACAUGGGGGAUACAGUCAUCUUUGCUGACGUUUGAGCGAGUGGAAACAUUAUCGAAGAACAGAACAAAGCCAUGUACAGCUCACCAAAUGCCCAUGCACACAGGCAACCGUAGCCAAGAAACUGCCUGUCUCCCUCUAACCUGAUGCCCAGGGAGGAAGAGAAAGGGGAAACCUUGAGAGAGCUGAGUUUGAAUAUGAAUUAACCAUUGACUCAGAAUUUAGGUCCAAGGUAGGAUUAAGUUGAGUUAAGGACAAAUAAAGAAAGUUGUUUCUCUGCA